UACGUAGGUGGCAAGCGUUGUCCGGAUUUAUUGGGCUUAAAGGGUGCGUAGGCGGUUCUGUAAGUCAGGGGUGAAAUACUCCAGCUUAACUGGAGGGGUGCCAAUGAUACUGCAGAACUUGAGUACAGAUGAGGUAGGCGGAAUUGACGGUGUAGCGGUGAAAUGCGUAGAUAUCGGAAGGAACACCAGUGGCGAAAGCGGCUUCCUGGUCCAGCACCGACGUUCAGGCACGAAAGCGUGGGGAGCAAACAGG
rnacentral:rRNA from 1 species